CCUACGGGUGGCAGCAGUGAGGAAUAUUGGUCAAUGGCCGCAAGGCUGAACCAGCCAAGCCGCGUGAAGGAAGAAGGUGCCAAGCAUUGUAAACUUCUUUUGUCGAGGAGCAAAAUAAGCCACGAGUGCCGGUCCGAGAGUACCUGAAGAAAAAGCAUCGGCUAACUUCGUGCCAGCAGCCGCGGUAAUACGGAGGAUGCGAGCGUUAUCCGGAUUUAUUGGGUUUAAAGGGUGCGUAGGCGGGAGGUAAAGUCAGCGGUAAAAGCGAGGGGCUAAACCCCGUCGAGCCGUUGAAACUGGUUGUCUUGAGUGGGCGAGAGGUAUGCGGAAUGCGUGGUGUAGCGGUGAAAUGCUUAGAUAUUACGCAGAACUCCGAUUGCGAAGGCAGCAUACCGGCGCUCAACUGACGCUGAUGCACGAAAGUGUGGGUAUCGAACAGGAUUAGAUACCCGUGUAGUC
rnacentral:rRNA from 1 species